UGACCUCGGAUCAGGUAGGGAUACCCGCUGAACUUAAGCAUAUCAUUAAGCGGAGG
rnacentral:rRNA from 1 species